CAAAAAAAGUGAAAAUUUUGGCCAAUUUUGGUUUUUUUUAAUGUGAAAAAUGUUGCUUUUGGGGGACAAUUUCUGUUCUAUUGUACUUAGAGAGUUGAUUUAAAAACUACCAGUAAGGAAAUCAUUAAUUAUAAUAAUCUGGAAAGUUUCAAGGACCUACUCCAAAAAAAAGUGAAAAUUUUGGCCAAAUUUGGUUUUUUUCAGGUGAAAAAUGUUGCUUUUGGAGGACUAUUUCUGUUCUAUUAUUCUUAGAGAGUUGAUUUAAAAACUACCAGUAAGGAAAUCAUUAAUUAUAAUAAUCUGGAAAGUUUCAACGACCUAGUCCAGAAAAAAGUGAAAAUUUUGGCCAAAUUUGGUUUUUUUCAGGUGAAAAAUGUUGCUUUUGGGGGACAAUUUCUGUUCUAUUUUACUUAGAGAGUUGAUUUAAAAACUACCAGUAAGGAAAUCAUUAAUUAUAAUAAUCUGGAAAGUUUCAAAGACCUACUCCAAAAAAAAGUGAAAAUUUUG